rnacentral:rRNA from 1 species
GAUUAACGCUGGCGGCGUGCAUAACACAUGCAAGUCGAACGAUGAAACUCAUUAGAUUUCUUCGGAAUGAAAAUGAAUGGAUUAGUGGCGAACGGGUGAGUAACGCGUGAGUAACCUGCCUUACACAAGGGGAUAGCCUCUGGAAACGGAGAAUAAUACCCUAUGAAACCAGACAAUCGCAUGAUAAUCUGGUCAAAAUGUUUAGUGGUGUAAGAUGGACUUGCGUCUGAUUAGCUAGUUGGUGAGAUAAAAGCUCACCAAGGCAACGAUCAGUAGCCGGCUUGAGAGAGUGUACGGCCACAUUGGGACUGAGACACGGCCCAGACUCCCACGGGAGGCAGCAGUGGGGAAUUUUGCACAAUGGGGGAAACCCUGAUGCAGCGACGCCGCGUGAUUUAGAAGGCCUUCGGGUUGUAAAAAUCUUUUGUAUAGGAAGAAAAUGACAGUACUAUACGAAUAAGGUCCGGCUAAUUACGUG